rnacentral:rRNA from 1 species
UACGUAGGCAGCGAGCGUUGUUCGGAGUUACUGGGCGUAAAGAGUGCGUAGGCGGUUUUCUAAGUUUGGUGUGAAAUCUCCCGGCUCAACUGGGAGGGUGCGCCGAAGACUGGAAGGCUUGAGUAUGGGAGAGGUAAGCGGAAUUCCUGGUGUAGCGGUGAAAUGCGUAGAUAUCAGGAGGAACACCUGCGGUGCAGACGGCUUACUGGACCAUAACUGACGCUGAGACACGAAAGCGUGGGGAGCAAACAGG